UCCGUAGGCGGGCAAUUAAGUCAGAGGUGAAAUCCCACAGCUCAACUGUGGAACUGCCUUUGAUACUGGUUGUCUUGAGUUACAGUGCAGUAGAUAGAAUAUGUAGUGUAGCGGUGAAAUGCAUAGAUAUUACAUAGAAUACCGAUUGCGAAGGCAGUCUACUAACUGUAUACUGACGCUAAUGGACGAAAGCGUGGGGAGCGAACAGGAUUAGAUACCCUGGUAGUC
rnacentral:rRNA from 1 species